rnacentral:rRNA from 1 species
AGUGAACGCUGGCGGUAGGCCUAACACAUGCAAGUCGAACGGCGGCACAGAGGAGCUUGCUCCUUGGGUGGCGAGUGGCGGACGGGUGAGGAAUACAUCGGAAUCUACCCUGUCGUGGGGGAUAACGUAGGGAAACUUACGCUAAUACCGCAUACGACCUACGGGUGAAAGCAGGGGACCUUCGGGCCUUGCGCGAUUGAAUGAGCCGAUGUCGGAUUAGCUAGUUGGCGGGGUAAAGGCCCACCAAGGCGACGAUCCGUAGCUGGUCUGAGAGGAUGAUCAGCCACACUGGAACUGAGACACGGUCCAGACUCCUACGGGAGGCAGCAGUGGGGAAUAUUGGACAAUGGGCGCAAGCCUGAUCCAGCCAUACCGCGUGGGUGAAGAAGGCCUUCGGGUUGUAAAGCCCUUUUGUUGGGAAAGAAAUCCAGCUGGCUAAUACCCGGUUGGGAUGACGGUACCCAAAGAAUAAGCACCGGCUAACUUCGUGCCAGCAGCCGCCGCCG